rnacentral:rRNA from 1 species
UACGUAGGGGGCAAGCGUUGUCCGGAUUUAUUGGGCGUAAAGAGCGUGUAGGCGGCCUGGUAGGUCAGUUGUGAAAACUCGAGGCUCAACCUCGAGACGCCGAUUGAAACCAUCAGGCUAGAGUCCGGAAGAGGAGAGUGGAAUUCCCGGUGUAGCGGUGAAAUGCGCAGAUAUCAGGAAGAACACCUAUGGCGAAGGCAGCACUCUGGGACGGUACUGACGCUGAGACGCGAAAGCGUGGGGAGCGAACAGG